GAUGAACGCUAGCGGCAGGCUUAAUACAUGCAAGUCGAGGGGCAGCACGAAUAGCAAUAUUUGGUGGCGACCGGCGCACGGGUGCGUAACACGUAUACAACCUACCUAUAACAGGGGGAUAGCCUUUCGAAAGAGAGAUUAAUACCCCGUAAUAAAUUGAAUGGCAUCAUUUGAUUUUGAAAGCUACGGCGGUUAUAGAUGGGUAUGCGUCUGAUUAGCUAGUUGGUGAGGUAAUGGCUCACCAAGGCGACGAUCAGUAGGGGAUCUGAGAGGACUAACCCCCANACUGGUACUGAGACACGGACCAGACUCCUACGGGAGCAGCAGUAAGGAAUAUUGGUCAAUGGAGGCAACUCUGAACCAGCCAUGCCGCGUGCAGGAUGACGGCCCUAUGGGUUGUAAACUGCUUUUGUACCAGAGAAACCUAUCUACGUGUAGAUAGCUGAUAGUAUGGUAAGAAUAAGCAUCGGCUAACUUCGU
rnacentral:rRNA from 1 species